AAGACUAUACUUUUAAGGAUCAUUUCUAUAGUCUGUGACUGAGAAAUCCUGUACAAAAAAGUUGGUCUCUGCAACCAUGAUGAGGAGCUGCAGCGUUUUCUCCUGAGCGCAAAGUGGUUCUCAAGCUUUGCUUUAUGCAAUGGCUUGUUAACAUUGAUGACCGUUCCCUUCUUCCAAUGUGGGAGUUGUGGAGGGAGAAUACGCAGUCUGAGUGGU